UACGAAGGGUGCCAGCGUUAAUCGGAAUUACUGGGCGUAAAGCGUGCGCAGGCGGCUUUGCAAGACAGAUGUGAAAUCCCCGGGCUCAACCUGGGAACUGCAUUUGUGACUGCAAGGCUAGAGUACGGCAGAGGGGGAUGGAAUUCCGCGUGUAGCAGUGAAAUGCGUAGAUAUGCGGAGGAACACCAAUGGCGAAGGCAAUCCCGUGGGCCUGUACUGACGCUCAUGCACGAAAGAGUGGGGAGCAAACAGG
rnacentral:rRNA from 1 species